rnacentral:rRNA from 1 species
GAUCCAGCAAUGCCGCGUGUGUGAAGAAGGCCUUCGGGUUGUAAAGCACUUUUGUCCGGAAAGAAAUCCCNUGCUNUAAUACAGCGGGGGGAUGACGGUACCGGAAGAAUAAGCACCGGCUAANUACGUGCCAGCAGCCGCGGUAAUACGUAGGGUGCGAGCGUUAAUCGGAAUUACUGGGCGUAAAGCGUGCGCNGGCGGUUUUGUAAGACAGGCGUGAAAUCCCCGAGCUCAACUUGGGAAUGGCNCUUGUGACUGCAAGNCUAGAGUAUGUCAGAGGGGGGURGAAUUCCACGUGUAGCAGUGAAAUGCGUAGAGAUGUGGAGGAAUACCGAUGGCGAAGGCAGCCCCCUGGGACGUCACUGACGCUCAUGCACGAAAGCGUGGGGAGCAAACAGGAUUAGAUACCCUGGUAGUCCACGCCCUAA